AAAGAGAGGGAGAGAACACUGAUGUAUAUAGAUGUGCAAGAGAAACAUCAAUCAGUUGCCUCUCACACACCCCCAACCAGGGACCUGGUUUACAACCCAAGCAUGUGCCCUGAUAGGAAUUGACACAGCAACCUUUUGGAUUGCAAGCCAAUGCUCAAUCUACUGAGCCACACAUUUUUAAAAGCACUUGAAUUUAUUUAUAACU